GAUGAAUGCUGGCGGCGUGCCUAAUACAUGCAAGUCGAGCGAACAGAUAAGGAGCUUGCUCCUUUGACGUUAGCGGCGGACGGGUGAGUAACACGUGGGUAACCUACCUAUAAGACUGGGAUAACUUCGGGAAACCGGAGCUAAUACCGGAUAAUAUUUCGAACCGCAUGGUUCGAUAGUGAAAGAUGGUUUUGCUAUCACUUAUAGAUGGACCCGCGCCGUAUUAGCUAGUUGGUAAGGUAACGGCUUACCAAGGCGACGAUACGUAGCCGACCUGAGAGGGUGAUCGGCCACACUGGAACUGAGACACGGUCCAGACUCCUACGGGAGGCAGCAGUAGGGAAUCUUCCGCAAUGGGCGAAAGCCUGACGGAGCAACGCCGCGUGAGUGAUGAAGGUCUUCGGAUCGUAAAACUCUGUUAUUAGGGAAGAACAUACGUGUAAGUAACUGUGCACGUCUUGACGGUACCUAAUCAGAAAGCCACGGCUAACUACGUG
rnacentral:rRNA from 1 species